AGAGUUUGAUCCUGGCUCAGAAACGUACGCUGGCGGCACGCCUAACACAUGCAAGUCGAACGAAGUAGCAAUACUUAGUGGCAGACGGGUGAGUAACAUGUAGGUAUCUGCCCUUUGGCCUGGAAUAACACGAGGAAACUUGUGCUAAUACCGGAUAAGUCUUUACGGAGAAAGCUUUAUGCACCAUUGGAUGAGCCUGCACUUGAUUAGUUUGUUGGUAGGGUAAUGGCCUACCAAGGCAACGAUCAGUAGCUGGUCUGAGAGGAUGAUCACGCCACACUGGGACUGAGACACGGCCCAGACUCCUACGGGAGGCAGCAGUGGGGAAUAUUGGACAAUGGGGGCACCUGAUCAGCAAUGCCGCGUGUGUGAUGAAGGCCUUAGGGUUGUAAAGCACUUUCACUGGUGAAGAUGAUGACGGUAACCAGAGAAGAAGCCCCGGCUAACUUCGUGCCAGCAGCCGCGGUAAUACGAAGGGACCUAGCGUAGUUCGGAAUUACUGGGCGUAAAGCGCGCGUAGGCGGUUAUGUAAGUUAAUUGUGAAAGCCCAAAGCUCAACUUUGGAACUGCAAUUAAAACUAUUUAGCUAGAGUUUGAUAGAGGAAAGCGGAAUACAUAGUGUAGAGGUGAAAUUCGUAGAUAUUAUGUAGAACACCAGUUGCGAAGGCGGCUUUCUGGAUCAUUACUGACGCUGAGGUGCGAAAGUAUGGGUAGCGAAGAGGAUUAGAUACCCUCGUAGUCCAUACUGUAAACAAUGAUUGUUAGAUGUAAGAAAUUUAUUUUUUGUAUCACAACUAACGCGUUAAACAAUCCGCCUGGGGAGUACGACCGCAAGGUUAAAACUCAAAUGAAUUGACGGGGACCCGCACAAGCGGUGGAGCAUGUGGUUUAAUUCGAAGCAACGCGCAGAACCUUACCAACACUUGACAUGUUCGUCGCGAGAAUAAGAAAUUAUUCGUUUCGUUCGGCCGGACGAAACACAGGUGCUGCAUGGCUGUCGUCAGCUCGUGUCGUGAGAUGUUGGGUUAAGUCCCGCAACGAGCGCAACCCUUACUUUUAGUUGCCAGCAGGUUAAGCUGGGCACUCUAAUAGGACUGCCUGUGAUAAGCAGGAGGAAGGUGGGGAUGACGUCAAGUCCUCAUGGCCCUUACGUGUUGGGCUACACACGUGCUACAAUGGUAUCUACAACAGGAAGCAAGACUGCGAGGUCAAGCAAAUCCUUAAAAGAUACCUCAGUUCGGAUUGCACUCUGCAACUCGAGUGCAUGAAGCUGGAAUUACUAGUAAUCGUGGAUCAGCGUGCCACGGUGAAUGCGUUCCCGGGUCUUGUACACACCGCCCGUCACACCAUGGGAGUUGGUUCUACCUUAAGGCAAGGUUUUAAACCCUUGACCACGGUAUAGUCAGCGACUGGGGUGAAGUCGUAACAAGGUAGCC
rnacentral:rRNA from 2 species